CUACGGGGCGCUGCAGUGGGGAAUAUUGGACAAUGGGCGAAAGCCUGAUCCAGCAAUGCCGCGUGAGUGAUGAAGGCCUUAGGGUUGUAAAGCUCUUUUACCCGGGAUGAUAAUGACAGUACCGGGAGAAUAAGCUCCGGCUAACUCCGUGCCAGCAGCCGCGGUAAUACGGAGGGAGCUAGCGUUGUUCGGAAUUACUGGGCGUAAAGCGCACGUAGGCGGCUUUGUAAGUUAGAGGUGAAAGCCUGGAGCUCAACUCCAGAAUUGCCUUUAAGACUGCAUCGCUCGAAUCCAGGAGAGGUCAGUGGAAUUCCGAGUGUAGAGGUGAGAUUCGUAGAUAUUCGGAAGAACACCAGUGGCGAAGGCGGCUGACUGGACUGGUAUUAACGCUGAGGUGCGAAAGCGUGGGGAGCAAACAGGAUUAGAUACCCGCGUAGUC
rnacentral:rRNA from 1 species